UACGGAGGGUGCAAACGUUGCUCGGAAUCAUUGGGCGUAAAGCGCACGUAGGCGGCCUAUUAAGUCGGGUGUGAAAGCCCUGGGCUCAACCCAGGAAGUGCACUCGAAACUGGUAGGCUUGAAUAUGGAAGAGGGUCGCGGAAUUCCCGGUGUAGAGGUGAAAUUCGUAGAUAUCGGGAGGAACACCAGUGGCGAAGGCGGCGACCUGGGCCAAUAUUGACGCUGAGGUGCGAAAGCGUGGGGAGCAAACAGG
rnacentral:rRNA from 1 species